UACGUAGGUGGCGAGCGUUAUCCGGAAUGAUUGGGCGUAAAGGGUGCGUAGGUGGCAGAUCAAGUCUGGAGUAAAAGGUAUGGGCUCAACCCGUACUUGCUCUGGAAACUGAUCAGCUAGAGAACAGAAGAGGACGGCGGGACUCCAUGUGUAGCGGUAAAAUGCGUAGAUAUAGGGAAGAACACCGGUGGCGAAGGCGGCCGUCUGGGCUGGAUUCUGACACUGAAGCACGAGAGCGUGGGGAGCAAAUAGG
rnacentral:rRNA from 1 species